rnacentral:rRNA from 1 species
UACAGAGGGGGCAAGCGUUGUCCGGAUUUAUUGGGCGUAAAGAGCGUGUAGGCGGCCAGGUAGGUCUGCUGUGAAAACUCGAGGCUCAACCUCGAGAUGUCGGCGGAAACCAUCUGGCUAGAGUCCGGAAGAGGAGAAUGGAAUUCCCGGUGUAGCGGUGAAAUGCGCAGAUAUCGGGAAGAACACCCGUGGCGAAGGCGGUUCUCUGGGACGGUACUGACGCUGAGACGCGAAAGCGUGGGGAGCGAACAGG